GACCCAGUGGUGUAGUGGAAACGCACCUGUGGAAACUAAGGUUGCAGUCAUUGUAAAUUCUGUAGGAAUCCCCUGUCCAACUCAGGGCUGGGUCU